UUUUGGGAUAGGCUGAGCUUUGGGCCCAGAUUAUUUUCUUGGUCUGUAAAUGGAAGAUUACCUGUAAAUUGUCCAGGAUGAUUCGGAGGGAGUGCACCUGUCGCCGAACAGCACCUGAAAACCUUUCGAACUGCAUCUUUCUCGGCCUGAGAGACCUGGUACACUGUGUGGCCUGCAUCCAGCCGGUAAGGACCUCCUUUGCCACCCAGACCCGCCGUGUCUCUUCCCCCUGGAAGGAGAGCAUGGAAAGCCAGAUGGCUGUCAAGGCCAAGAGGCGCAGACCAUCCUAAGGGAAGGUGAAGUACAGAGCUCCGACAAGCCCAGACAGUGCGCACACAGUCUGGCCCUAUUCCUGUGGCACAGCAGAUGUGUCUGCUCCAGCUGACUGCGGAGGAAAAAGGAAGACGACAGUCCUGGGAACAAUGCUCUAGUCGGGCAGCCAAGAGGAAGGAAUGGACCACGGCCAUCAGUUCAAACUGCAACUAGCUCUCUUAUCUCGAAAUCUUGCAUCCUUAACAUACUCACUGAGAUGUGGAAGACAAGGACCAUUUCUUUUCAAAGUCAGUUGCUCAAGAAAGAAUUUACUGUGGAUUUCUGGCACAAUCCCAAGGUCAUGGAAUUUAA